UAGCCGUAGGUGAACCUGCGGCUGGAUCAUUAUCGAGCAAAACAAAAAAACUCUUGGAAUAACAGGAGUGUGGCAGGUCGUUAGGUGCGGUGCAUUUGUUGAUGCGCGUCUGCACGCCACAGUGUCCCAACGGCUAUGCUGGCUCCUACCUUAUGCCGAGAGACUGUCGUCGUAUGCCGUGGUCUCGUCCGAUGGCGUUUGGGUAGCGCUCCUCCGAGAGCGAAGGAUUAAUGAGUACCGGCUGUGGUACCGCCAGCAAAACAAAAACCCCAAUUUAUUUUUAACAAAACACAAAGAAAUAUCAGUCUUACCGGUGGAUCACUCGGUUCGU
rnacentral:misc_RNA from 1 species